rnacentral:rRNA from 1 species
ACUCCUACGGGAGGCAGCAGUGGGGAAUAUUGGACAAUGGGCGCAAGCCUGAUCCAGCCAUACCGCGUGGGUGAAGAAGGCCUUCGGGUUGUAAAGCCCUUUUGUUGGGAAAGAAAUCCAGCUGGCUAAUACCCGGUUGGGAUGACGGUACCCAAAGAAUAAGCACCGGCUAACUUCGUGCCAGCAGCCGCGGUAAUAC